GGGGUCGUAGCCCAAUUUGGCAGGAGGCAUGCGGUUUAGGUCCGCACCAGUGCGGGUUCGAGUCCCGCCGGCCCUACCA
rnacentral:tRNA from 1 species